UCAAAUUUAUUAUUCUCUUUCAUAUUAAGAUAUUUAUAAAAUUAUCUUUGAACGCGCUUAAAAUAAAAUACCGAUCGAAAAAAUCGCCUUGAAACUCCAAAGAAAAACAUCAACGAUGUGUCUGUUUUUUAUAGAUGGAACUAGCUGUAAUGCUGAGAAGAAUUCGCGUCUUGGAAAAAAGUCCUUUUUGGGUACGGCUUCUAUUCAAAAGCCUGGGACAGUGUUUUAAGCCAUUUUAAUGGUUUAAGUUAUACAGAGAAUUUUUUACUCUGGGUGAAUUAUGUCAUAACUUUUUUAAGAAAUACAAAUACAUAUGUACAACUAUGAAAUUUUGUACGUGCAAUAUUUCAACAAGGGUAUUAACGGAAGAAAAAUGUAGCUAUGUGGCCUUCACACUGAUCGGAUUGAAGACAAUAGGAUGCAGUUUACAUUAGUUCCAUGAAGAACCCUUCUCUCGUAAAGCGAUGCCGAUGCCAGGAGCGAUUCAACGUCGAGCUAAUAAUUUGAAGAACACCCCUCAAAUGUGCCGCCA
rnacentral:misc_RNA from 1 species